UUUUAUUUUUUAUUUUUUCCAAUCCUCUUUUCUUCUCAAGGUGUCCAAGUCACACAGAACCACAGAAUCUCACAGGUGUCUCAGAAUUCCUUCUCCUGGGACUCUCAGAGGAUCCAGAACUGCAGCCUGUCCUCGCUUGGCUGUCCUUGUCCAUUUACCUGGUCACAGUGCUGGGGAACCUGCUCAUCAUCCUGGCUGUCAGCUCUGACUCCCACCUCCACACCCCCAUAUACUUCUUCCUCUUCAACCUGUCCUUGGCUGACAUUGGUUUCACCUCGGCCAUGGUUCCCAAGAUGAUUGUGGACAUGCAAUCGCAUAGCAGAGUCAUCUCUUAUGCGGGCUGCCUGACAUAGAUGUCUUUCUUUGUCCUUUUU
rnacentral:lncRNA from 1 species